rnacentral:rRNA from 1 species
CACGUAGGAGGCGAGCGUUGUCCGGAAUCAUUGGGCGUAAAGAGCGCGCAGGCGGCUUGGCAAGUCGGGUGUGAAAUCCCCGGGGCUCAACCCCGUGACUGCAUCCGAUACUGUCAGGCUAGAGGUAGGUAGGGGAGAUCGGAAUCCUGGUGUAGCGGUGAAAUGCGCAGAUAUCAGGAGGAACACCGGUGGCGAAGGCGGAUCUCUGGGCCUUACCUGACGCUCAGGCACGAAAGCUAGGGGAGCGAACAGG